GAUGAACGCUGGCGGCGUGCCUAAUACAUGCAAGUCGAGCGAACGGACGAGAAGCUUGCUUCUCUGAUGUUAGCGGCGGACGGGUGAGUCACACGUGGAUAACCUACCUAUAAGACUGGGAUAACUUCGGGAAACCGGAGCUAAUCCCGGAUGAUAUUUUGAACCGCAUGGUUCAAAAGUGAAAGACGGUCUUGCUGUCACUUCUAGAUGGAUCCGCGCUGCAUUAGCUAGUUGGUAAGGUAACGGCUUACCAAGGCAACGAUGCAUAGCCGACCUGAGAGGGUGAUCGGCCACACUGGAACUGAGACACGGUCCAGACUCCUACGGGAGGCAGCAGUAGGGAAUCUUCCGCAAUGGGCGAAAGCCUGACGGAGCAACGCCGCGUGAGUGAUGAAGGUCUUCGGAUCGUAAAACUCUGUUAUUAGGGAAGAACAGAUGUGGAAGGAACUGUGCACAUCUUGACGGUACCUAAUCAGAAAGCCACGGCUAACUACGUG
rnacentral:rRNA from 1 species